rnacentral:lncRNA from 1 species
CAUUUGGAGUUCCAGUGGGCUUUUAUUGAGAUAAAUUAACAAAAACCAAGAUUUUACCAUAUUUUUGGAACCUUAUAAACUCAGCAGACUCCGGUCCAUAUAUGCGUACAUACAACAUAACACAUCCCAACAAAAACAGAGCUCCCCUUCCCACACAACCAAUGUAAAAUACAGCAGCCUGUAUCUUAAUAACCCAGCCCUACCCCCUCCCUUACCCAGCAUUGUCUACUGGAGAAUUUAAAUACACUUCUGUUGGAAUCUGUCAGCUGUGGAUGGGCAGAGUCCAGGUGCCAGGCUAGCUCCCUCUGACCUCAUGAACUGUGACAACCUUUGGACACUUAACUCUUUACCCCAAAGAUGAGUUUUUAGAUCAGAAAGGAGAGCAGAUUUUCUUUGGGAGUUUUAAAAAACUAUCUUUAGAUUUAGAGAUACAAAGUACAACUACAAUCUCACAGAAGUCCACUAAAGUUCACCAAAAAGCUGACUUACUUCAGCUCUCAUGAGGCCAAUAAUUUUGAUAAAGGUAUCUGGCAGGAAAAUGAUUCCACAAUAACAAAUUUAAAGAUACCUAGAACAUUGAAAAAAAUAGCAAAUUAAAAUAAAUGGCUUAAUUUCCAAGAACUUAUUUCAUUUUUUUGUUACUCAUCUAGAAGGUCAGGAGUGUGGCUAAAGGCAGUUUCUGAUGAGGUUAUGAGCUUCCAAAGUGUUUCUAAAUCCUUAGUGCAGACACCCUCCCUUCUGGGGCAAAGUACCCUCCCUCCCACCCCUAUUAAAAAAAAAAAUUAAAAAAUUAAACCACGUCAUCAGAAUGAGAUGUUUUGAUUCCAACAAUUUAUACUCAAGGCUUUGUGCUGAGUUGUCGUUUGAACCAAGCAUGAUGUUAUCAAGCACAAAGCACGUGGCAAAACAGUAUUUAUCCCCAUCAGAAUAUAUGGGGAAAGAAAAAACAUAGGCCUAGAGGUGGUAAGGUGUGUAACAGUCCAUAGCCCAUUACACAACUGUACAACCAAAGGCUAAAUGAUGAGUUGGAUGUAGUUUUAAUAUUAAAAAUAGAGGGUAGUUCUCAUCCAAAUGAGCCACUGGAAAAUAUUAUCAUUACUAGUGAGUUUCAACUUCUAGC